rnacentral:rRNA from 1 species
AUGAUGGUUAAUUAUAUAUUUUAUAUUAUAAUAAUGCAGAUGAAUCGGCAAUGGAUGUACGGUAACCGACUCUCCCGCGAGUUCACUACGGGUUUGAAAGAUUUCCUCGUAGUGGCUAAUGCGAACAAGCAGAAGGGUUUUGUUAUCUGUCCAUGUGUUGACUGUAAGAAUCAGAAGGGUUACUCUUCCUCAAGAGAAGUUCACCUGCACCUGCUUCGGCACGGUUUCAUGCCAAGCUAUAAUUGUUGGACCAAGCAUGGAGAAAGAGGGGUUAUAAUGGAAGAAGAUGAAGAAGGGGAUGAUUUCAUCGAUGAAAUCUAUCUUGCUCAUUUCGGUGAUACUUUCAUGGAGGAUGCUGAAGGUGAAGGGGAAGGUGAAGGGGAAGGUGAAGGUGAAGAAGAGGCACGUGAUGAGACCGUUGAUGAUCUUGGUCGGACCAUUGCUGAUGCACGGAGACGCUGCGAAACUGAAAAGGAGAGGGAGAAUUUGGAUCGCAUGUUAGAGGAUCACAGAAAGUCGUUGUACCCCGGAUGCGAUGAUGGUCUGAAAAAGCUGGGCUGCACACUGGAUUUGCUGAAAUGGAAGGCACAGGCAGGUGUAGCUGACUCGGCAUUUGAAAACUUGCUGAAAAUGUUGAAGAAUAUGUUUCCAAAGAAUAACGAGUUGCCCGCCAGUACGUACGAAGCAAAGAAGGUUGUCUGCCCUCUAGGUUUAGAGGUUCUGAAGAUACAUGCAUGCAUCAACGACUGCAUCCUCUACCGCGAUGAAUACGAGAAUUUGAAUGAAUGCCCGGUAUGCACUGCAUUGCGUUAUAAGAUCAGAGGCGAUGACCCUGGUGACGAUGUUGAGGGCGAGAAACCCAGGAAGAGGGUUCCCGCCAAGGUGAUGUGGUAUGCUCCUAUAAUACCACGGUUGAAACGUCUGUUCAGGAACAAAGAGCAUGCCAAGUUGUUGCGAUGGCACAAAGAGGACCGUAAGUCGGACGGGGAGUUGAGACACACCGCAGAUGGAAUGUAA